AUACGGAGGGUGCAAGCGUUACUCGGAAUCACUGGGCGUAAAGGAUGCGUAGGCGGAUAAUCAAGUCAAAAGUGAAAUCCCACGGCUUAACCGUGGAACUGCUUUCGAAACUGGUUAUCUAGAAUAUGGAAGAGGCAGAUGGAAUUAGUGGUGUAGGGGUAAAAUCCGUAGAGAUCACUAGGAAUACCGAUUGCGAAGGCGAUCUGCUGGGACAUUAUCGACGCUGAGGCAUGAAGGCGUGGGGAGCAAACAGGAGUAGAUACCCUAGUAGUCC
rnacentral:rRNA from 1 species